UAUUACUGUGCUUUCACCCCCACCAAUCACGUACCAUAGGUAGUACUGGUGUAGGACUUAUGACCUUCUAUAUAUAGAACUGCCCUAUAUUGAAGGGUUCUUACAAGAACCAUGUGCUUGCUUAUUCAGUUCAGUGAUAGAUGUCUCUGUGUGUGUGUGUGUGUGUGUGAGAGAGAGAGAGAGAGAGAGAGAGAGAGAGAGUUUUAUGGGAUUACUCCUCUUCGUAAUGUUUCUUGCUCAAAUGAGUAUUCCAGCCACAGUUUGCAUGCAGCUUGCUAUAUAUAUAUAUAUAUAUAUAUAUAUAUAUAUAUAUAAACAUGUGUGUCUAUAUAUAUAGCACUGGUGCUUCUGCAAUCCUGAGAUACUCAUUUGGGCAAGCAACGUUACAAGAGGAACAUUUUUGCAGCAUGAUCAGCAAAACUGCCGUUUCGGCACCAAAAAGCGGCCUUGAUUGCUAGCUAGUUCAUCAAUCUUAUAUACAGAAGAUGAUGAUACCAUGAACAUAUAUGAUCAAUUAUAUCUUAAUUAUCUUGCCUGGCGGAUCUUAAUUUCUUAAGUAGUAUUAUUCAUCAUUCAAAUUACCAAUAUAGAACUUGAAUCAAUACUUUGUAUUCAGCUAGCAUAUUAUACUGAUUAUAUGUAUUUCCAGCGUAUAUUAGCUUUCAAAUUGUGGUAAAUAAAGGCAGUUGUUUCCUUUUAUAAUUCAGAUCACCAUAAAAAUUAUACCAGAGAUCUCAUUUAAAUGA